UUCUCAAAAUAUUCACAUUUAAAGAAUUUCAGAUUUAAUUAUGUUGCAUAAAUUAUGAUGUCAUAUUUAAGUAAUAGCAAAUUUUGACAUUUUCUAUAGAUAGAUGUGCAUAUUUUACAUGGCUAGCCUCACAAAUAUCGAGGGAUAUACCCUGUCUAUUAUUUCCAGGAGGGGCCAUGGCUUAGAUGGAGAGUCCUAGAGUAUUUAAUGCUCAUUUUAAGCGACGCAGACCCAAUUAGGGCCCGCGCUCUACUAGACAACUCCCGGCAACAUCCAACGGCCCACACAGUGUGCCAUCUUCCCAAUUUCCCUCACAUGGCUUGGGUUAACCCGGGGCUAUGGUAACAUUCACUCGCCCAUGUUGAAUCGCCGUCAAGAGGAAUCGAACCCCGGUCUCCCGCACAGAGUACGAGAGCUAUAACCACUAAUCUACGGCGCCAC